rnacentral:rRNA from 1 species
CAGGCUUAACACAUGCAAGUCGAGGGGCAGCAUGGUCUUAGCUUGCUAAGGCCGAUGGCGACCGGCGCACGGGUGAGUAACACGUAUCCAACCUGCCGUCUACUCUUGGACAGCCUUCUGAAAGGAAGAUUAAUACAAGAUGGCAUCAUGAGUCCGCAUGUUCACAUGAUUAAAGGUAUUCCGGUAGACGAUGGGGAUGCGUUCCAUUAGAUAGUAGGCGGGGUAACGGCCCACCUAGUCUUCGAUGGAUAGGGGUUCUGAGAGGAAGGUCCCCCACAUUGGAACUGAGACACGGUCCAAACUCCUACGGGAGGCAGCAGUGAGGAAUAUUGGUCAAUGGGCGAGAGCCUGAACCAGCCAAGUAGCGUGAAGGAUGACUGCCCUAUGGGUUGUAAACUUCUUUUAUAAAGGAAUAAAGUCGGGUAUGCAUACCCGUUUGCAUGUACUUUAUGAAUAAGGAUCGGCUAACUCCGUGCCAGCAGCCGCGGUAAUACGGAGGAUCCGAGCGUUAUCCGGAUUUAUUGGGUUUAAAGGGAGCGUAGAUGGAUGUUUAAGUCAGUUGUGAAAGUUUGCGGCUCAACCGUAAAAUUGCAGUUGAUACUGGAUAUCUUGAGUGCAGUUGAGGCAGGCGGAAUUCGUGGUGUAGCGGUGAAAUGCUUAGAUAUCACGAAGAACUCCGAUUGCGAAGGCAGCCUGCUAAGCUGCAACUGACAUUGAGGCUCGAAAGUGUGGGUAUCAAACAGGAUUAGAUACCCUGGUAGUCCACACGGUAAACGAUGAAUACUCGCUGUUUGCGAUAUACAGCAAGCGGCCAAGCGAAAGCGUUAAGUAUUCCACCUGGGGAGUACGCCGGCAACGGUGAAACUCAAAGGAAUUGACGGGGCCCGCACAAGCGGAGGAACAUGUGGUUUAAUUCGAUGAUACGCGAGGAACCUUACCCGGGCUUAAAUUGCAGAUGAAUUACGGUGAAAGCCGUAAGCCGCAAGGCAUCUGUGAAGGUGCUGCAUGGUUGUCGUCAGCUCGUGCCGUGAGGUGUCGGCUUAAGUGCCAUAACGAGCGCAACCCUUGUUGUCAGUUACUAACAGGUUCCGCUGAGGACUCUGACAAGACUGCCAUCGUAAGAUGUGAGGAAGGUGGGGAUGACGUCAAAUCAGCACGGCCCUUACGUCCGGGGCUACACACGUGUUACAAUGGGGGGUACAGAGGGCCGCUACCACGCGAGUGGAUGCCAAUCCCAAAAACCUCUCUCAGUUCGGACUGGAGUCUGCAACCCGACUCCACGAAGCUGGAUUCGCUAGUAAUCGCGCAUCAGCCACGGCGCGGUGAAUACGUUCCCGGGCCUUGUACACACCGCCCGUCAAGCCAUGGGAGCCGGGGGUACCUGAAGUGCGUAACCGCGAGGAGCGCCCUAGGGUAAAACUGGUGACUGGGGCU